CACGUAGGGGGCGAGCGUUGUCCGGAUUUAUUGGGCGUAAAGAGCUCGUAGGCGGCUAAGUAAGUCAGGUGUGAAAACUCCAGGCUCAACCUGGAGACGCCACCUGAUACUGCUUUGGCUAGAGUCCGGUAGGGGAGCAUGGAAUUCCUGGUGUAGCGGUGAAAUGCGCAGAUAUCAGGAGGAACACCAGUGGCGAAGGCGGUGCUCUGGGCCGGAACUGACGCUGAGGAGCGAAAGCGUGGGGAGCAAACGGG
rnacentral:rRNA from 1 species